rnacentral:tRNA from 1 species
CGGGGUGUGGCUCAGCCUGGUAGAGCACUGCGUUCGGGACGCAGGGGUCGGAGGUUCAAAUCCUCUCACCCCGACCA